AUGUGUAGCAAGCAAGAUCAAAUGUUAGCUUAUAUUUUCAUGCAUGGGAAGUUUGCUCUCACAUUGUUGGCACUUCCUAAAAAGAAGCAUCGUCCACACUACUUUUCUAGAAAAACAUUAUCCACACGCUAUGUACAGAACAACGUUGGAUACAUAGGUCCCACCAGGCUGAUCCUUACCUUUCCCCUUACUGGCUGUUGGAUGAGGCAACCUCCACCUGUUGAUUUCCCACGCAACUCUUUUGCAUCUCGCGUUGACCAACAACACCAACAACUUGUGUUGGCGACAGACUCUGCCCUCGCUGCCGCCCGCGCUUGCUGA
rnacentral:rRNA from 1 species